UACGGGGGGGAGCAAGCGUUGUUCGGAUUUACUGGGCGUAAAGGGCGCGUAGGCGGCGUGACAAGUCACUUGUGAAAUCUCCGGGCUUAACUCGGAGCGGUCAAGUGAUACUGUCGUGCUAGAGUGCGGAAGGGGCUACUGGAAUUCUCGGUGUAGCGGUGAAAUGCGUAGAUAUCGAGAGGAACACCUGCGGCGAAGGCGGGUAGCUGGGCCGACACUGACGCUGAUGCGCGAAAGCCAGGGGAGCGAACGGG
rnacentral:rRNA from 1 species